rnacentral:sRNA from 1 species
UGAUAUACAGGAUGAACAGCGUGGGCGA